rnacentral:rRNA from 1 species
AUACGUAGGUGGCAAGCGUUGUCCGGAUUUAUUGGGCGUAAAGCGAGCGCAGGCGGUUUUUUAAGUCUGUAUGUGAAAGCCUUCGGACUCAACCGAAGAAGUGCAUCGGAAACUGGGAGACUUGAGUGCAGAAGAGGACAGUGGAACUCCAUGUGUAGCGGUGGAAUGCGUAGAUAUAUGGAAGAACACCAGUGGCGAAGGCGGCUGUCUAGUCUGUAACUGACGCUGAGGCUCGAAAGCAUGGGUAGC